UUUUUAUAAGUAAGCCUACAGUGUACAAAUAAAUAAAAAACCUUAUAACGUUUGAUUUUCUGAGUUAUUUAACCAACUGUUGAUGAUUUCGAAAUAAAAAAGGAAAUAUAUUUAAUAAGGAUCGAAACAGAAUUAAUUUAACCAUUGUUACGAACUGUAGCUCAGGGCAGAGUACCCCUAAUGCCACAGCUCGCAACAUAAAAAAACAUCGACAACUCCGCUCUCUCGCAUCACUGAAACUAUCGGACAUCACUAAGAACGAAACGUAAACAAAGCCACUGCUGGCAGGGACGGAGGGCGAUUGUCGUCGGGCUGAGCACUUUUUGCUGGAGGCCAGCGGCAUUCAAGAUAGCUAACAGGCGCACUCGGCCGCCAAAAACGAAAUGGCGGUAAUUUGCAACACUGCUGUCUGACGACAUGGAUAUGCCGAGAUGAGGCGGAAUUUGUAGUCCGGAACGGACUCACCGGGAAAUACUGGAUGUCUGCGGCGAGGAUGGCAAAGGCGUUCUCGGCUGGUAAUCCGUGCAGCCAAAUUAUGGGUAGUAUGUAAAGUAUUUUAGUAGAACUCCCAAGUAUGUAGGCGAACUCCCAAUAUAAUCUCCAAAGUAUGUAGUCGAACUCCUAAGUAAAUCUGGCAAGUAGGUAGUCGAAAUCCCAAAAAAAAUCUGCCCAGUAUGUAGUCGAAAUCCCAAGUAAAUCUCCCGGGCCCCUUUUGUGUCGGGACCCCGAUUGCCCUAUAAAUGAUUAAUAAUAAAUACCGCAAAUAAUAAAUACAUACUACCACUCACUUUUAUUUUAUUUUUGGCACAAAAUUUAACUUAGGCUUCUAGCUGCAUCUGUCUGGUUCGGCAAUAUGGCUGCGACGAUACCCAUAUCUGCUGAUCAUUUUUAUUUCUGCCCCCGCCAUAUUACAUGGCCUCUCCUAAAAUUGGGUCAUUGGACAGAUGAGUGCCAUUUAAGAUGAUCUCGGAGCGAACCGCUUCAUCCCGCAGCUGCGACUAUCGCCCUAUCGGCCCAACCUAUCGAUAGAGUCACUCCCAUCAUCGACUCCAAUUGCAACACCAACCAAAGAUUUCGAGAGGUGCUACCCGAGGCUUCAGGAGAACGACGAAAUAACUGGUAGCUUUGGAGAUGAAAUGGGACUAAACCCGGCACUGAUACCAUCUUGCAGUUCUAUUGGCGCCUAAUGCGGGGCCCACGCAUGACGGGAGGUAUAGCAGAUGUGAUGGCGAUGCUUGUAUACUUUGUUUUUCUUUUUUUCAGAUCACAGCCAGAUGUCCUUGGCAUGAUACACUCCCAGACUGCGGCCUUGGAGGUCUUCCAGCAAGUAUGCAUUGCCACCAACGGAUUUGACCCCCCUAGCUUUCAGGAACUUGCGGGCAAACUUGACGUUGAAGGACGUUCCUGUUUAUCCUCUCGGCAUUGCUCUGUGGUGAGUAUUCUGGAGUCUUUAGGUGCUGUAUACCGAAGCCGUCCAUCUUCUCCUCAAACGCCUCGGAUACGAAGGCGGGAUCCACAGCUUCCAUUCGGAUCCUUUCAAUUCCUCCUUCCUUGUUAAACUCUACAUCCUGCACGUUCUCGCUGCCUUUGCGAUGUUCAAUCUUGAAAUCCUAGCCCUGUAGCUGUAUAGGCCACCUUUUGAGUCGUCUGAAUAGAUCCUUCAUUGUCAUUAACCACCCAAGGCUGGCGUGAUCAGUGAUCCUUUUCCGCGACCGAGUAAUUAACCUGUCGUUUGUUCAUCUUGGUCGAGAACGCGAAAGGGAUCGUGCUGACAAAAAUGUAAAGUACAUCGUGGAAAAUUUUGAGAAUAAUAAUUUCGUGCUAGUCUAACAGAAUCAUUAAAUGUUAGGCGGUUUACAAGUUCUACAAAAUCAAUAUCCCCUCUUAUAAGAUUUUUAUAAAAAUAGUAGCAAGCAUUGUUCUACGAUUUACAAGUGUAGGUAAAUUAAGCAAUUGUAAUCUACUCUGGUAGGAAAGCUACAUUUUGAUCCCAGUUCAAACUAAGCAGGGCAAAUAAAGGAAAUUGUUUUGUACCGAUCCUAAACGGUCGAAGUGCACUUCAUAUUGUGGACUCCAAACCGAUGAACAAUAUUCCAAAAUAGGACGGACAAGGGAGGUAAAUAAUAAUUUGGUCGUAUAAGGGUCAUCAAAUUCUUUUGACCAAAGCUUUAUAAACCCAAGAACUCUCAUGGCUUUGUUAACAGUGGACAUUAUGUGGCAGUCAAAUUUAAGUUUAACCGAAUAUAUUCGUUCGAGAGGAGUAUUUUUAAGAAAGUAACCGAUAAACGUAGGAGGCAGUUCAAAUUUAAAAGGUUGUACCCACACCAUCCAUGAAAACUGACUAUAAGUUAAAUCCCGACGCUAUAUCAUUAUAUAUUAAACAAAACUUAACAUCAUCAGCAUACAUUACAAUACUAAUAUGUGUUAGGAUAGCGGUAAAAUCGUUAACAAACAAACUUAAUAGCAAAGGGCACAAAUGACUACAACACUCUCUAUAAUAACUUUCUGAGUCCCACCAUUCAAAUAAGUUAAAGGCCAAGCUGAUCUAUUUUGAAUAAAGAGAGAGAGAGAGAGAGAGAGAGAGAGAUUGACAGGCCUUACUAAAAUCAGUAUAUAUAACUUCAGUCUGUAUAUUUUCCUUAAAUACAUUUAUUACAAUAAUUUACAAUUCAAGAAGGUUGGUGUUGGUCGAUCCUCGCCUAACAAAACCAUGCUGACACGGUGAUACAAUCGAAUAGCUAACAUGUUGCAAAUGAGAAGUGAUAAUACGUUCCAAUGCUUUAGAUGUUUUCAACAAAUUUGUCUAUAAUUCUGGGCCUUAGCACCCUUUUUGUGAAGUGGAAUAAUAAAAGAUAGUAGAAAAAACUGAUGAUAAAAUAUGCAAAUUUAAAAGUUUAAGAAUCGUUUAGCACACACCCAGGUAGUCCAUCUGGACCGGGAGAUUAAGUUGUUCUUCCUAAAUCUCUUAAAAGAGAACUUUUGGUAACUACAGCGGUAAAAAUACAAUUUGCCCUAUUUAAGGUUAGGGUACUUCGAAUUUGACCAAACAACCGACCUAUAAGUAGUUUGGAAAAACUCAGCAAAUAAAUCAGCAAUUUCUAUACCUCCAUUGAGUUUAGACGUACCGAUAAAGGCUAUGCGGAUGACUUACGUUUGGCAUUAACAAAGUUGUAGAACUGUUUCGGGUCGUUUGAUAAUUCAAAUUUGCAUCGGUUUAGAUCCACAGAAUAGCACUAACUGUUGAGAACAUUAAAAUCUAUUCGAGCCACCACAUAUUUCGAAAAAUCUGCUGGUCUACCCGAUUUUUUACACUUUUUUUAAGUGUUCGAUUUAAGGUUUUUAAGACUUUGACCUAUCAGGUACGCAUUCAUUAAAAAAAAGUAUUUAACACUGUAUAGAAUAGUACAGUGGCACUAUCAAUGUCUGUACAAUUGUACAAUUCUGACCAAUUAAAAUGAGAAAUCAUAUCGUUAAGUUUAUUAUAGUAACAUUUACGAAAACAUCCCAUUUUAGUUGGAGAAACUAAAGGAGAGAGGGUAUCAGAGCAGGGGAGGCAAAUUUUCAGUUCCAUAGUUGGAUGAUUUCGGUCUUCAGGUACAAAAAGAGCGUCAGUUCUACAUACUGUGAUUUCAGACGGGUCUGAAACAAACACAAGAUCUAAUUGUCUACUUCAGGAAUUUUUUAUACACCUUAAUCGCUGUAGCGAUAAUUCUAAAAGGCCAUCCACAAAAUCAUGGGCGGGUAAAGGCAGAGCGACAAAUGAGUCAGUAGGAGGAGACCAAGAAUUAUCAGGAAGAUUAAAGUCACCUAAAACAAUCAAAAGGUCUCUGUUAGGAAAAAGGGAUAGAACAGAUUUUUUUGCAGACAGAUGAUGCUCAUAAAUUACUAGAUCAGAGUAAGGUGGAAUAUAAGAACAUGUAACAAAAAUAGAUAAAGAUUGCACGAAAACUUUCACACUUAGAAAUUCAAUUUCUUUCGGGAUAUGAAUGAGAAUUCUUUCAGAUAUUAGGCUAGAGGUCACGGCAAUCGGCACACAAAUCAGCACGGCAAUUUUUGGCACAGUGGAAUGCAUGGUAUUGGUUCUCGGUUUAUUUGGAACAAAUUCUUUAAUUACUAAAUCAUAAUUAAACCAAAAGCUUUCAGAAAGUAAAACAAUAAAAACAAAAACAUUGUGGAAAUUCAUAUUGAAUAGACAUUUCAGGUAGCCGGACAUUUGAAAAUUCCAAUUGUUACAGUGGUAAGUGUUCAAUACAAUUUUAAAUCAAGGUCUCCAAAGAUUCGAUGAUGACUGGCUGGAAACACGCCGGGAAGAUGGGAUCGCCGUCCGGAUCGGGGUCUAAAUCUGGACACAGCUUCAGGAGUCUGAAAGGGCACUCUUGGUCAACAAAGGCAACCUGCCAAGAGAGAAUAAGUUGAUGAGCACAUACAAGAAGUCGGGUGGGAGAUCAGAAUACUUAGUGGCAAGGGCUAGUGAUGAGUCAGUAGGAAGAGACCAAAAAAUAUCAGGUAGAUUUAAGUCACCUAAAACAAUCAAAUGAUCUCUGUUAGAAAGAAGGAAUAAAACAAAUUAUAUUGCAGACAGAUGGUGCUCGUAAAUUACUAGAUCAGGUGAAAUAUAAGAACAUGUAACAAAAACAGAUAUAGAUUGCAAGGAAACAUUGACACUUAGAAAAUAAAUUUCAUUCGGGAUAUAGCUAACGGCAAUCAGCACACCGCAAAAAUAAAACUUUUUAGUUUUUGUCACAGUGGGGGCCUGUUAUUUGUUCUCGGUUGAUUUGGAACAAAUUCUUUAAUUACUGAAUCAUCAAAGUAAAACAUUAAAAGCAUCUGGCAAUUAUUUUAAAUAACGAUAUCCUACGAGCGUAUGAGUAUCGAAAUUGUUCAACUGCAAUAUCUUCGGAUGGGAAUUUUUCACGUAUAAAUUCCAAAAGAUCCUCAGAUGUGGUAUCAGGGUUGAAUAUAGAAAAAAAUAAUUGCUUCCUUUGUGGAACAACUGAAAGUUUCUUACGCCCCCUAGCAGCAAUGUGAACCUCACUAGGCUGAGAUCGAGGAACUGUGCCUACUGUACCUAUAGGUACGGUCGGCACCGAAUCGGUUAAUAAUUUUUUGUUAUUAAACUGGGCACAGACGGUAUUGAACCCCCCAUUGAGUUGCCUGAGAUAUUCAAUAGGCUGUCUCAAGUCUGCUUCAUAAAGCGGCUCAUCUCAACCAUCAUUUUCUUGCAGGACCCAUAUGACCAGAAUUAAGAUCAAUAAAAUCUUUAACUGGUAAAUCCUGCACAUUUGACGUGCAUCAUCGAAUCGCUGAGCCAGCAAAAAAUAAAGGGGUCUUUAGUUAAAGACGCAAGAACAGACAAGGGCCAUUAUAAGAUAACAAAAGUUUUUUUAAGAAUAUGAAAUGCAAUAAAACAUGAAAAAUACCUCAAAAAUCAAAAAGGCACAAAACACAAAAAAAAAAUACAAGGAAGAACGCUAAAGUCAAAUGCCUCGACUAUCAGGUACCCGUUACUCAGCUUGAGGGAGUAAAAUAGAAAUGAAGAUAUAUAAGCAGCAAAGAAAUAUUUUAAAGCGCCACCUACCGGCUACUUUGGGAUAUGUUAUAUGGGCGGCAGACAGUUUUAACCGUUUUAGCCGUUUGGGGGCGUUAGGCCCCCGUUGUUUGGCCAAUCGAAAGGUUUUAAUGAGAUAAAUUUAGUUUACCAAAAAAAAUGUCUAGGAUGACAGCUGUGGGCGGUUUUUUGGCGUUAGAGUGGGCGACGCAUAUUUUUUUUGGGGUCAAUCGAUAGGUAUUGAUGAGAAAAAUACAUUUCAGUUAAAAUUUGUUUUCUAUCAGAUUUUCGCGGACUGUGGGCGUUAGAGCGGGCGUGGCACCCCAAACUUGCGUUGCGUACGAAGCCCAGGAAUCUGCUUGCCAAGUUCGACUGUUCUAUCUCGUAUGUUUUUUUUCAUACGGACGGACGGAUAGACGGACAUGGCUAGAUCGACUCGGCUAGUGAUCCUGAUCAAGAAUAUAUAUACUUAAUGGGGUCGGAAACGCUUCCUAUACCCUUUUACUCUACAAGUAACGGGUAUAAUAACAACGCUAGAUCGCAAAAAUUAAUCAAACGUAAGAGAGUACGAGAGAAUAAAUAUUCUAACAACUGAGCGUGGCUUGUGCGACACUUACAACUUUAAACACGCAAGAGAGGGAGUUACAGAAAUAGAACUGAAAAAGUCUAGCACAAAUUCAGCAGGUUUAUAUAAAGGGCAAAUUACAGUUAUAAAAUAGAGCGAGGUAGAUUGAGAGGGAGUAAAAGAGUUCUAGCAAGCUUAGAGAGCGUAAGUUACAAUAACAAAGCCAAGAGAUUAAACAAAUCUAAUAGAAAUAUUAAAAUAACUAUAAACACAUACCCGGUCGGACAGACGGACAUAGCUAGAUCGACUCAUUUAGUGUUCCUGAUCAAGAAUAUAUACCUUUAUGGGGUCGGAAACGCUUCCUUCUGACGAAUCUAGUAUACCCUUUUACUCUACGAGUAACGGGUAUAUUUACCACACGAACAAAAUACGGACUUCUUAUUAAUAUUAGGGUAGUGUACAUUUUCGACACGAUAAGACGAGAAGUUUACAUCACCCUACACUUCGCUACUAAUAUAAUACAUUUUCGUCGUAAAUACUAAUAUCAGAACUUUUCUCGUUAAGAGGUGUUUUGAUAUCAGAAGUUAUGCUUUAAACACAAAUCAUAUAAUCCGCAUACCUUUCCCAACUUCGUAAAAUUAAAAUUUUUUGUUACUAUUUAUAUGAAUUUAAAAAAUUCCAAUACCCUAGAAUAAAGAUACGCUCAGGAAGUGUUAGAUUUUUUGAACUAGUAAAUUUUGAAAUUUUUGUUUAUUAAUAACUUUAAAGAGUAACUAACACAUUAAAGUUUUACCCAAAAUCGUUAGAGAAGUCUUCAAGAAAUCAGAAAUAAAAGUUUUUAAAAAAUUUUGAAUGCAAAGUCGUUUGUUGUUAACGGCGUUAAUUAGACACAUCAUGUUAGAAAGGCGUACAAAGCAUUUUAGAAUUCAGAAUAGCACAUCUUAAAUUUUUAGGACCAUCAAAUAGAUUUUGAUACGCACAAAAGAAGUUCAGUGUUCAGGCAGAGUAAUAUAUUCUGGACCAGUACAUAUAUAUUUGGCCAUUUACGAGUGUGUUGAUUAAUAACUUUGACACGGUUUUUGUGGAAUUGAUGCAUAAUAAACCAUACUCAGCCAGCCAGAAGCUGUAUGUAUAUUCUACAAGACACACUCCGCGGUGAAGCAAGAAACAUUUUGACAGAUACGGCCUUCUCUCAAGGCGGAUACGACAACUCCUGGCAACGACUAAAAGCCAGAUGCCAAAACGGAGAUAUCGUCAACUACGUGCCCUUAACGGGUCUGCGCAACAGCUUUGAGCACUACUUGACACAGUGCGAAAGACUUUAAGCUCAUAUCUACACAAAAUCCUGGGAUCCAAUUCUGUGUUUUAUAAUUAGGAGAAAACUACACCAACAGAGUCUUGCUUCAUUGGAAAACUCAGCAGAUGCCCCAAAAGAAAUUCCAACGUGGCGGAGUACUGUCGUUUAUUGAGCGGCGCGCUUGAAUGCUGGAAACGAUAGAUGCACAACCUACAAAAACGCUCCGCCCUCAGCCAGUCCGCAACGAAGAGAGCGCAAGAUUUGUCACCCAGGACCACAUCACAUUAAGGCGUCUAAUAGAUUGAAAACUGUGGGUCACUGUUUACUUGUCGAGACUGCCAUCAAUGGCAUCAAUCAAUGUUACCCAAAGGCGCAGUAACCAUCGCAGGCUACGACAACCCCAGAGGACAGGUUCUUCUCGCGACCGCCAAGGUAUCAUUAGAAGGACCUACCGGUCAACUUAAAAGUCAUUUAAAAACAAUCAUCGUUACCGAUUGCACACGAUCUAAUAAUUUCUAAGAGACUGCCUUUAGCAGAUGUUGACUUUCGGCAACAUAAGCCCAUUGACCUCAUCUUAGGGGUUGACCUGCAUGCCCGGUUAGUAACUGGUAAACUUUUUAGACUAGGACCUAAUAAACCUCUGGCGAACGGCACUACGCUUGGCUAUGUAAUCACCGGUUUUCCUAGAAAAGAACACUCCUUUGAUACGCUAUUCAGUCAUAUAUUGGAUGAAUUGUGAACGUGCCAGAGGGAGAAGGUUCGUACCCAAAGCUGAUUAAUAUGACCAACACCCAACAAACCAAGCAAUAGCGCUGUUUGAAACAGUACUACCCGCUCAGUACCACACACUGGUUAAGAGAAUUGCUGAUCAACAUAUUAUAUUCAAUGUCAACAGUUAUAACUCAUAUUUGUAAACUUUCGUGUUCUAAGUAGUAAAUAAGCUAAUACCAAGUAAACAAUAAAUCAUUAAUCAACGCACUCAUAACUCCGCGGCUUUACUUCCUAUUUCUGGGAAUAGGCGUCGUAAUAGGCGUCGCUAACCUCCAGUAGCUCAAACCUCAGAUCAGUGCCCGCAUCGCCUUCUCGUCCAUCGUCGUGACGCGUUCGUCCUGGCAUAAAAGCUUCCCCGUGCCAGCGACAAGACGCUCAGUAUAACCCCCUUGUCCCGCGACGUGACCUAGAAGUGCCAUUUUCGCUUGGGCACAAACACUUUCUAUGCCCGCAAUACCGUUUUUACUUGUUAUUUGAAUUUGUACUCCUGAAUUUAAACAAUUGUGUAAGGUGUAGUGUUUGGCACAUUUAGUAAACUUGAAAAAUUGCACUGGCACGUUUGUGACACCAUAUAGCUGCCAUAGAAACAAUCGGAAUAUUGGUGGGAAAAUAAUAUGAAACAAAUUACAGCUUUGGUGCCUUUUAACAUAUAAC